rnacentral:rRNA from 1 species
UACGUAGGGGGCAAGCGUUGUCCGGAAUCAUUGGGCGUAAAGAGCGUGUAGGCGGCCCGAUAAGUCCGCUGUGAAAGUCCAGGGCUCAACCCUGGAAUGCCGGUGGAUACUGUCGGGCUCGAAUCUGGAAGAGGUGAGUGGAAUUCCUGGUGUAGCGGUGAAAUGCGCAGAUAUCAGGAGGAACACCAAUGGCGAAAGCGACUUCCUGGACCAGUACCGACGUUCAGGCACGAAAGCGUGGGGAGCAAACAGG